rnacentral:rRNA from 1 species
UACGAGGGGGGCAAGCGUUGUUCGGAAUUAUUGGGCGUAAAGGGCUCGUAGGCGGCCAACUAAGUCAGACGUGAAAUCCCUCGGCUUAACCGGGGAACUGCGUCUGAUACUGGAUGGCUAGAGGUUGGGAGAGGGAUGCGGAAUUCCAGGUGUAGCGGUGAAAUGCGUAGAUAUCUGGAGGAACACCGGUGGCGAAGGCGGCGUCCUGGACCAACACUGACACUGAGGAGCGAAAGCCAGGGGAGCAAACGGG